rnacentral:rRNA from 1 species
UCUUCCCUCUGGCGGCGUGCCUAAUACAUGCAAGUCGAGCGAACAGACGAGGAGCUUGCUCCUCUGACGUUAGCGGCGGACGGGUGAGUAACACGUGGAUAACCUACCUAUAAGACUGGGAUAACUUCGGGAAACCGGAGCUAAUACCGGAUAAUAUAUUGAACCGCAUGGUUCAAUAGUGAAAGACGGUUUUGCUGUCACUUAUAGAUGGAUCCGCGCCGCAUUAGCUAGUUGGUAAGGUAACGGCUUACCAAGGCGACGAUGCGUAGCCGACCUGAGAGGGUGAUCGGCCACACUGGAACUGAGACACGGUCCAGACUCCUACGGGAGGCAGCAGUAGGGAAUCUUCCGCAAUGGGCGAAAGCCUGACGGAGCAACGCCGCGUGAGUGAUGAAGGUCUUCGGAUCGUAAAACUCUGUUAUUAGGGAAGAACAAAUGUGUAAGUAACUAUGCACGUCUUGACGGUACCUAAUCAGAAAGCCACGGCUAACUACGUA